CCUUUUCCAGGCUGUGCUCUGUGAAAGGGGGGACCAGGAAAGAACCUUGCCUGGAGCAGCACUUUGUGCAAAAGUUUGAGUUAAGUGUGUGGUGUCUGGUGUAUUUUCACUUGUGUGCCCUCUCUUAGAACCCCAAGGCAUUCUUUAGUGUUAAGGAUCCACCCAGUCCUUAACAUUCUACUUUUCCAAUAUCCAUAAAUACACCUUUAAAAUGCCAAUUUCUCAAUGCAUUUGUUCUUCACAACUAUUUGGAAAAUAUCGGCCUGAGUGAAUUUGUCGUUUAGAGGAAUUUAGGUCCUCAAACCUCUGAAAUCUAUCAUUUUUGACUCAGGGAAUUCCAGACCAUGUCACAAAAUGAAGAAGAAAAGGAAAAAAGGCACAGUGGUCCCUGAUCUGUAGUUUCACUUAGAAGUCAGAAGUCAACUUUGAGUUGUUCUGAGGAGUGUGAAGAACAUGAAUCAUCAUCCCCUUGCCUGUCACAGAAACACUAUACACACUCUCAACCAUCAGGCACUCAGUGGCUUGUCUCUGUUAUUUAACCGACUAUUGUGACUACCAUGUUAGUAUUCAGAAGUCCGUGUUUUACUCCAUAAUUGCCAUCACACGCAAAGCAGCAACGCUAGAAAUUUGGCUACGCCAAAGAGAAGCCAUCGUCAUGGAAAGAAGCCCAUGGCCAAGCCAGACCUAUAUGGGAGGACCCAGAGCUGUGGCAGUGGGAACAAGGAGAGAGCCCGAUCAGAAGUCAGGCAGGUGCUGUGUGCCAAGCCCUGGACCAGGCCAAGCAGAAGAAACAACUAUCCACGGCAGCUGUGUGCUGCCUUCCAAGCCUUAUACUCAAUGGACGAAGAUGAACAGAGCCAAACUGAGACCAGCUACCAGAACACAGAGAUGGCUAUAAAGAUGCAGCAGAGGGAUGACCGGCUUUACUGCAGGACUGGAUAAGCUUUUUUGUAGUCUCUUGUGUUUAUUUUGAAGCAGACAUAGGAGAUUCUGAAAGUUUAUUAAAAGGUGUAUUUGUGAGUAAAAAGCUCUGAGAAA